UUUUUAUUCAGUGAUGUUGUUGAAAUAAAUAAUACACAUUUUGAUGUUUGGUUAACAAUCGGUUACAAAUAGUAUAUGCAUAUUCAGAACUAGAACAAAAUUAAGUAGAUAGGUUCUGCAAAGUGUGUAAACCAGGUUAAUAAAGGACUGGACAUGGGUCACAGGGCGAGUUGUCCCCAUACCAAUUUCACUCAUGCGUACUACAAAUAUCUACAGUAAAAACAUCCGCUUACAAGUAAACAAAUGACGCUCAUGUAGAUGAGAUGAAAUCUGAUAAUUUACUUAAAUAAAAGAGUACAUAUUUACGAUAGUGAUUGUUUU
rnacentral:lncRNA from 1 species